UUUCCAAAUUGUCUGAGUUGCACUAUCGCUUCUGUCCAAGUCAGCAGGAGGAAGGAGAUGCAAGGAGGCUUUCGGCCUCCCGUGCUUUCAUCCCUGCAGUACCCUCCCAUUGGGUCGCAGGGUUGACAUCACACGCAUGCUUAUGGUCGCAGGGUUUUGCCCUCGCUGAUGUCAUUCCGUCUGGAUCUGAAGAGGCUCUGAAUGCAGAUUCCUGACCUGAGUGACCGAAGGUCAUCUGUUCCACUUGACAUUGAGCAGGCCGACAGGACAUGGUGCUGCAACACAGCAGGCCACCGGGAACCGAAUUGGAUGGCAGAGGGGAAGAAGCUGUUCCUUAAUCGCUGAGUGUGUGCCUUCAGGCUCCUGUACCUCCUCCCUGAUGGUAGAUAUGAGAACAAGGCAUGACCUGGAUGAUGG